UCCCCAUUUUGACACUUGUACCCAUUCGAGCUCAGAUUACCAUUCUGAUACCCGUUACUGUUCUUGAUGCCGUUCACAGCGUUGACACCGCUCUCCUCCAUGUCUACAUCAUCCUCUAUUUGACCAUUGACGAACUGUGGGCCGCUGGUGCCGUUCAUUGCGUUACUGAUAUUCAUCUCUUCUACAGUACCGGUUGCGGACUUCACAUAUGCUUUGGUCGAUUGUAUCACACUGGUUUGAUUUGGAUUGCCACUCGGACAAACCUCCGAAUCGCUGCCGUUCACCAUUUCCACGAAUUGACGGCACUUGAGUGCGAACAGUAGAUCCGGAUUUCCAUCGAGCAGACCGGGGUAUAACCGAUUAGUCACUUCUAUCGCCUCGCCCACACGACCGGACAAUACCAGCUUUAUAAUCCCUACGGAUCAUCAUUGAAAUUACUCUUGGGAAGAGCGGCAAUGAGCAGCACCUACUUUGUCGAUUUUUAAUGGAGCUGUAGUCCUCCUGGAACACCUGGCCCGUGCUGCUGGCGAAUGCCUCGGCGCUGUCGAGAUACCCGUGAUGGACGAGAUACGUACACACCAUUCUGUCGAAUUCGUACAGAGUAAUUUGUUACUCUCGAAAGAUAUUGUGAACAUUGGUCCGUUGGCGAUUUUUCCCCCCCUCUAAUUUCCUUGAUCUAUCCGCGUUUUCGAAAGACACUCUCGCAAAUCAUCUUAAUAGGCAACAACGACAAACGAAGAAAGAAAAAUAAUCACGAAAGAAAGAGACUAGUAGAGAAUCAUGCAUUCGAUUCCCGUCUCACUUUCUGCUUAUGUACCUGUGAAGAAUCGCCUGCCACUGGCCCUGGCCGUGAUCCGGCGUGGGAUAGUUUAUGAUCUGUAAUCUCGUUCUUACACGCAAUUCGUUGAUCAUAUCCCCGAUGUCGAAGACGAAAGGUAACUGUCCGAAGUUGGCAUCAACCACCUCACCUGGAGUCUGCAGACCGACCGUUGGAUAGAGACUGGUCUGCGAAAACGAAUUGCAUUUAUAACGAGUAGCUUACGGGAAGGUCCGUGAAGGCGAUGCCCAAGUGAUGACCAUUUUUUGUGUAGAAGGCGGUGUUGUCAACGAGAUUUACGCCGCAGCCGAUUACGUCGCCGGUGGUGAAGGUCGGCCCGUAAGGUUGUCCGGUGCCGCUUGAGCAGAAACUGUGACCGUCGUCACCGUGAUAACCGUAUGAGUGCUUGUCCCAACCUGGGAGCAAAAGAUCCGAAGAAGAUCAAGACGGAAUAAGUACGCGUUUACGAGAACGCGAGUGUGAUGCAAGUGCAAGUGCAAGGAAAAUACAAGAAGAACAGUUAAGGGCUAACGGUAAGAUGCACGGCUGGGCAAUCUUCCGUUUUCUUGGGUACUAGCUUCAUCCAAGGAAGAUCACGUGCAUCCGAGCUACGCUUCGUAAACAGAUGCGUACACGAAGCGCAGCCCGCAAGACACGACGGGUUCCACGCAGCGUUUACUCCUCGAAAUCGUUAUCGUGGACUUGCGCGUAAGCAGGAGAAGCCCAGAUCCGAUUGUGAGGAGGCGAGUCUUCGAGAUUCGCAAUCAACAAUCGCGCGAUUUAAUCGGAAAGAGCAGCGGUUUAUGAGUCACAAUAAAGUUACUUUUUUUGCGUUUAUCGCAAAAAUAAAAUUAUUCCAUCUUUUAACAGAUGUGUUUCAGAAAUAUGGCUUGUUUAAUUAAUAAUUUAGAAUUUUUUUAAUUUUACAUUUUUUGUAUCUUUUUUUUCUUUAUAAAAGAGACGAUCAAAGAUCAACUUGUAAAUUACGGAGUUUGAUGGAUGAGAAAUACGAAAGAAAGAAAUAUCAAAUAAUAAUAAAUAAUAAACAUUCGUAAUAAAGGUUAAUAUCUGCAAAUAAAUGUAUAUACAUAAGAAAUUGAAUAUAAAA